ACCUUAAUGGGAGGCUAUGAUCUAGUUAUCACAAUAGCCAGCUCAUUUUAGAGACCUAAUAAUUUAGAAGAUUUAAUUAGUUUAGAGAAGAGAGAAGAGAAGAAAAGAUCAAUCGGUAGACUACAAUCCUCUUACUGACUUCACCAAGUCACUGAAUUGGAUUAGGUCAUGCUGAUUGAACUGGCACCUAGAUCAGUCACAUUGAUCAACCUUAAUGGCAUAGGCUAACUCAAAUCAUUUAGUGAUCUAAUCAUACUUUAAUUUACCAAAUUGACCAGAUAAAUG
rnacentral:lncRNA from 1 species